UGUUUUUCGGACCUUUCGGCAUGAAGCCUUCGUCUUAUUUCGUGGACCGAACUUGUAAUGAAAAACGAACUAGCAUCGCGAAGGGGCUACUAUUGGGGCCUUCUCCCUCCGAAGGUCCUCAAAACACUAAUUCAACGUCUGUUUUCUAUCUUGUUUCAUGUUUUGCAAGACUAGUGCCGAAGAUGAUCCACAGCCGAUGCUGUUAACAAACACAUACAGGAAGGUAGAACUUCGGGUAGUCGACGUGCAUACCCUACUAAUGAAGCUGGACUAGACCAUAAGGAGUCUUCGAGGCUCAUUUCGUCGAAGAUAGAAGGAAAAGACCACUGUACCCUUGGCAUGUAUAAUAGUCUAAAUGUGUAGGCUUAAGGGCAUAAUUGAAAAUUCAUCGAAAAUGUAUCCCACGCCUAUAAAUAGAGGAACAGUGCCAUGCAUUGUUCAGACUUUUUGUUCAAGGGUAGAAUUCAUUUCUCACUAUACGAAGCUGUAAUCUCUCUACCCCU
rnacentral:lncRNA from 1 species